GACGAACGCUGGCGGCGUGCCUAAUACAUGCAAGUCGAGCGAGCUUGCCUAGAUGAAUUUGGUGCUUGCACCAAAUGAAACUAGAUACAAGCGAGCGGCGGACGGGUGAGUAACACGUGGGUAACCUGCCCAAGAGACUGGGAUAACACCUGGAAACAGAUGCUAAUACCGGAUAACAACACUAGACGCAUGUCUAGAGUUUAAAAGAUGGUUCUGCUAUCACUCUUGGAUGGACCUGCGGUGCAUUAGCUAGUUGGUAAGGUAACGGCUUACCAAGGCAAUGAUGCAUAGCCGAGUUGAGAGACUGAUCGGCCACAUUGGGACUGAGACACGGCCCAAACUCCUACGGGAGGCAGCAGUAGGGAAUCUUCCACAAUGGACGCAAGUCUGAUGGAGCAACGCCGCGUGAGUGAAGAAGGGUUUCGGCUCGUAAAGCUCUGUUGGUAGUGAAGAAAGAUAGAGGUAGUAACUGGCCUUUAUUUGACGGUAAUUACUUAGAAAGUCACGGCUAACUACGUGCCAGCAGCCGCGGUAAUACGUAGGUGGCAAGCGUUGUCCGGAUUUAUUGGGCGUAAAGCGAGUGCAGGCGGUUCAAUAAGUCUGAUGUGAAAGCCUUCGGCUCAACCGGAGAAUUGCAUCAGAAACUGUUGAACUUGAGUGCAGAAGAGGAGAGUGGAACUCCAUGUGUAGCGGUGGAAUGCGUAGAUAUAUGGAAGAACACCAGUGGCGAAGGCGGCUCUCUGGUCUGCAACUGACGCUGAGGCUCGAAAGCAUGGGUAGCGAACAGG
rnacentral:rRNA from 1 species